rnacentral:rRNA from 1 species
AUUGAACGCUGGCGGCAUGCUUUACACAUGCAAGUCGAACGGCAGCGCGGGCUUCGGCCUGGCGGCGAGUGGCGAACGGGUGAGUAAUACAUCGGAACGUGCCCAGUCGUGGGGGAUAUCUCGGCGAAAGCCGGAUUAAUACCGCAUACGACCUGAGGGUGAAAGUGGGGGAUCUUCGGACCUCGCGCUAUUGUAGCUGCCGGUGUCAGAUUAGCUAGUUGGUGGGGUAAAGGCCUACCAAGGCGUCGAUCGGUAGCUGGUCUGAGAGGACGACCAGCCACACUGGGACUGAGAAACGGCCCAGACUCCUACGGGAGGCAGCAGUGGGGAAUUUUGGACAAUGGGCGAGAGCCUGAUCCAGCAAUGCCGCGUGUGUGAUGAAGGCCUUCGGGUUGGAAAGCACUUUUGGCGGGAACGAAAAGGAAUGUGCCAAUACCACGGUUCGAUGACGGUACCCGCAGAAUAAGCACCGGCUAACUACGUG